UUAUCAUCAGCACACCUGGAACAGGAGCCGCUGCCAUCAGCAAAUGAUGUCUCAUCUACUUUGAGAGUUUUCAUGGUGUGUUUUUCUGUGGCUCUGUCUCCUCCCAGGGCACUGGGAUCUCCAGGGCAGAUACUCUAUGUAGUGAUCUAAGUGGCGACUCAAGACCACUCCCUGGCUUCCAACUGAUUGGCUUCCCAGUUAGAAACUCAACGCUUAAGUCUGGGGCCCUGCUGACAUGAGAUGGAGAUGAGACUUGACCUAGAAGGUAUCAAACCCUGGAGUUGUCUGUCCUCUGGAAGGGCCCACCUCAGCUCCUGAGCAGACUGUUCAGUUUCCAAGUUGACAACAGCUUGAAAUCAGCCAUGAUGCAAAUAUUCAAACCAAGGACAUUGCCAAAUGCUACAAACCAGAGUUAUCUUUUUACCCUGAUAAUUGACUGUUAGAUAGUUACCCGCACAUCACUGGUGAUAUCCACACUGUCUACUCUUUUCUGCAAAGAAUCAUCUACAGUCAGAUAAGCCUUCCUAAAGAGUCAAGUGAAAAAGGCACGGGGCAGUUAGGGUCAGAGCUGAGUUGGGUUCCCCCACUAGAUGAGUGACCUUGAACUGGUUGCUUGAGGUGCAAACUGAUCCUUUGUAAAUAAGGGGAGGGGCAGGCCAAGGCAUAUUGAGUUAGGGUCCUGAUCAGGGCAUCUAGCUGGGGCUUUCUGGUUCUUCCAGGCCAGAGGGCAGGCUCAGAAGGACGGGACCGCCAGAUCUUCCUGGUCUCUUUGCUCUUAGAAGGCUGCCUGGUAAGACAGACCUUAAUUUUUAGCUUGGCAAACAAAGCUGCUAUUUUAAAACUGCUGCUUGCUUCUCACUCUAGAAGGUCACAGAAAGUCACCUAGGGGCUGAGCUUCCUGGGAAGCUUCCUUCCAGGGAAGGCUUCCUGGCAUGACCCCUAAUAGUUAUGUAAAUAUAAGGCAGGUUUGUUCCCUGUGUGUGUGUGCGUGUUAUGUGUGUUCAGAUACCUUUUGUGGCCUGACAGGCUGCCUCUCCAAACGGGUGUCUGGCUGGAGCCAGGAAGAAGAGGGAAGGAAUGACCAGACUGAGACCCCAACUCUUUACCUUUGAGGGUCAGUUAUUAGACCGUCUCUGAAGGACUGACAUGUCUUCUCUCUGUUCUCUUUCUGGAAUGCCUAGUAGUUAGAAGUUGUGCCUUCUGAACUCACCUCCAUGCUUUUUUCCUCUCAGAUUUGAAUUUAGAGAAAUUAGAGAAUAGAAGCAAACAAUAUUAAGGCAGGAUAGGGAAGAGGGACAGCCACCCGGAUCCCACAAGCAUGGACACUACCUGCCCAUAUCCAUUUAGGCUGCCUUUCCUUUACAUACAAAUAUGUAACUAGAUGAGAUCUUAAUGCAUAUGUGCUGAUAUUUUCGACACAUUCAGUGUAUAAAUGUACAUGUACGGCACUAUUUUA